UACGUAGGUGACAAGCGUUGUCCGGAUUUACUGGGCGUAAAGAGCGCGCAGGCGGUCGUUUCAAGUCGAGUGUGAAAGCCCCCGGCUCAACUGGGGAGGGUCACUCGAUACUGAUCGACUCGAAGGCAGGAGAGGGUAGUGGAAUUCCCGGUGUAGUGGUGAAAUGCGUAGAUAUCGGGAGGAACACCAGUGGCGAAGGCGACUACCUGGCCUGUUCUUGACGCUGAGGCGCGAAAGCUGAGGGGAGCAAACGGG
rnacentral:rRNA from 1 species